AGAAGCAGAGGGUCCCAGUACAAGUGGAGAUAAUUUACACUCAUCCUGCACGACAGCCAUUAGCAAGAACUUUUGUCUUCAACCAAAGGACAGCAUCAGUCCACAGUGUGAUGCAAGUCUUCCAGAGAUACCCAACAAAUCUCCCAAGAUGGAUAAUACGGCCAUCAACACACUUCUAGUAUUGUUUAAUCUCAAGCCUCCAUCUGUAACAGUCAAGAAUGUCAGGA